rnacentral:rRNA from 1 species
GACGAACGCUGGCGGCGCGCCUAACACAUGCAAGUCGAACGAGCGAGAGAGAGCUUGCUUUCUUGAGCGAGUGGCGAACGGGUGAGUAACGCGUGAGGAACCUGCCUCAAAGAGGGGGACAACAGUUGGAAACGACUGCUAAUACCGCAUAAGCCCACGACCCGGCAUCGGGUUGAGGGAAAAGGAGCAAUCCGCUUUGAGAUGGCCUCGCGUCCGAUUAGCUAGUUGGGGAGGUAACGGCCCACCAAGGCGACGAGCGGUAGCCGGGCUGAGAGGUUGAACGGCCACAUUUGGACUGCGACACGGCCCAGACUCCUACGGGAGGCAGCAGUGGGGAAUAUUGCACGAUGGGGCAAACCCUGAUGCAGCGGCGCCGCGUGGAGGAAGAAGGUCUUCGUAUUGUAAACUCCUGUUGUGGAGGAAGAUAAUGACGGUACUCAACAAGGAAGUGACGGCUAACUACGUG